CAUUUUUAACUAAAAAAUCAUGGGAAAUUAAAAAUAUAUGUAUAUAUUCCUGGAAUGGGGAAGGCCUUUUACUAGUAUGGCACAAAACUCAGAAGUUAACAACAAAUUUCACCUUUACAUAAACUAUCAUAGACAAAAAAUUUACAGCUCUUAUCACAGACAGAACACUUAUAAAUCAAGCCAAUAGACAAUGGAUAAAGGAUAUAAAUAGACACUUUAUAUGAAAGGAUGUACAGUGUAUCUCACACACUUAUUUUGUUCUCAUUUAUUGAAAUGCUUAUUCCAUACUUUGAUAUCUGUGUUACCUGUCACAUUGACAGUGAAGAAGAUACUUGAAAACCCUCUUAUGGGUAAGUAAGGUACACGAAAACAUACUCUCAUACAUCUCUGGAGAGAGUUUAAGUUGGUGAACGUUAAGGAAAGGCAAAUUGAUACCUUUAACAAUUAUGAAUUCAUAUCAGUUUUGACCUAAAAAAUUCCAUUUCUAGAAAAUUAAGAAAUAUACAAGUGAAAUGAGAUAUGUACAAAUUUAUCUUAUACAGUAUGAUGGCAAGAAGUUUGGAAAUAGUUUAGUUAUUUAGCAGUAGGUCACAUAUUAGAGAAUUUAUCAACCAUUUUAUAGAGUGAAAUAUCAUACAGCCAUAAAAAUAAAAUAGAAAAUUUCAUGUAAUGACAUUGAAAGUUCUAAAAAGAGAAUGUUAUUUUUAAAAAAGCAAGACUGGAAUUUUGUACUUAAAGCAUAUAUGACAUAUGUAACCUUAUUUAUGGAAGGAUACAGAAGAAACUGAUAAUGUUUAUUGUCUUCAGGGAGGGGAACAGAAUGACAUUUUGGAAAGUGGAGAGAAGACUUUUUUGGAUUUUGAAUCAAUUGAGUGUAUUAACUAUUCAAAUCUUUAAUUUGGAAUUUAAAAAGAAAAUUAUUAAAUGCAUUAACUUUAUAUUGUUCUGAAUUUUGGAAGUUGUAGAAAAUAACCUCAUUACCUAGAUGUGGAUUCCUGAAUUCUUUAAUUUAAAAUUUGAAAAUAAUGAAUGUUGGCUAGUUACAACAAAGUUGUUACUAUUGUUUUUAUUAAUAACUAGAUGUUGUAGAAGAUGUAAAAGAGGAGUGUCAAAAAUAUGGACCAGUAGUAUCUCUGCUUGUUCCAAAAGAAAAUCCUGGCAGAGGACAAGUCUUUGUUGAGUAUGCAAAUGCUGGUGAUUCCAAAGCUGCUCAGAAAUUACUGACUGGAAGGAUGUUUGAUGGGAAGUUUGUUGUGGCUACCUUCUACCCGCUGAGUGCCUACAAGAGGGGAUAUCUGUAUCAAACUUUGCUUUAAUCAGUAACCUAAGGACUAUUUCCUGUUUCUCCUCUUCCAUUUCCUUGGGUUAUUGUAUUCUACAUCUGAAUGCAGAAGUACCCCUACCAUUUUGAGGGAAUACUUUGUACACUUAUUCAGUCCUACUAAUGUGCAGCCAUUGGUUAAGCAGUGACUGCAUUGCACACAUUUGGCACUGAGUAGGACAAGACCUCUCAGCUAUAUAUUGAGGGGCUUUAGAGCAUCCAUGUGGGCAACCUUUUUUUGUGCAGUAGGGCAAGUGCUGCUCUUCAGUAUGUAACCUAAACAAAUAUUAACUAUUUCAUGUGAUCAUGAGGCAAAGAUGAAUAAUAUGUUGUAGUGAAUAUUAACAAAUAUGUUAGAGUUGGUGACAUCACUUACAGAUUAUUCCUUUAUGUUGUCAGAUGGUUCUUCCUUAUUGUUGAUAUCCAUGGUUGGCACUGGAUGCUCUCAGUAAUGUUAAGUAAUCAUCAAGCAACAGUUCCCUGCUGUGUUCUUAACACUGAGUUAUGAAUUUUUUUUUAAAGGAGUACUGUAGUACUGAAUAUUCCUUUAAAGAAACUGCAGUGAGCCUAUCUGCAUUUUUAAAAUUAAGGCUUUUAAAAUAGAAAGCUGAUGCUUGAUCUUGCACAAUUUUUAUGUCUAGUAUGUAUGUUUGAGUGAGUGUGCAGUUGUGAAAGGUUAGAGAAAAUUUGAGUCAGUGUUCUUUAUAGUGUGAGUCUUGUAAGUUAAUAUAGUCUAUGCCCAUCUCUUCCCUACCUGUUUAAUAUCUGUAAGAUUUAGGAUACAAAUUUUUUGGAAGUUAGUUUCUUUGAUAGAAUGAAAGGAGAAAAUAGUUCAUUCCUGAGAGGCCCAGAACAGAUGAGUAUAGCCUGAGUUAUAUUGAAACUUUCUAAAGUGAACAAACUGUCUUAAAAAAGUUUUGGUAAAUUGCCCCAUCCUUCCAUCUGCUUUAGACCCUGCGUUAGCUCAUCUGUUCUGUACUGAAUCUUCUAUGAACACUGUAAGAUUUCUCAAGAUAAGAGUUCUGCCUACUAUGAUGGAAAAUUGAAGUGGGUCAAAAAGAAAGAAUUAGUUGUUCAGUGAAGGGAAAAGGGGGGGAAAAAAAAGACAGGGUGCAUAAUCAAGGAUUUUUUAUUUCUUCCCUUCUCUCUCAUCUCCCUUCCACUCCUUCUUUUCCUCUUCCUCCAUUCUGUACCUCUAUCCUGAAGAGAGGUUAGAGGAAAGCAUCCCCGGUGGUCUGGCUGUUGACUGCGAGGAAGUAAACAAAGGUGUAGCUCUCAUAAGGUGGAAGUAGAAAGGAAGAAAAGCCCAUAAAGAAUUCUUAAAAGCAUUAGCAAUCUAAUGUGUCCCUGGGUAGAGGUUACUAGUAUGCAGAAGUUCACAGACACAGAUUGAUUAUGUGGUUUUAGGAAUUAUAAUUAGGCAUUCUACCCACUUUAUAGAAGAUUGUCUUCAAAGGUUUAAAUCUUAGGAAACCUUUAUAAAGCACUGAUUAUACAAAAAAAAGUUAUAUACAGGUUCUGAAUUUUUUCUUACCUAAAUGAAAAUUUUAUUUAUUUAUUUUUUUCCUAAGGAAAAAGUCUUAUAUACCUUACCCUGCUGGAAGCCUCCUCAUAUAGUCUUUCUUUGUAUGUGCCAUGCAGGUUAUUGAGAGCCCAAUUAAGAAUUUAUGGGUUAGAGAAUGAAUUAUUAUACCCUGUUCAAACAAUUACUAUUUGAUAUUUUAAUUACAGUUAAUCUGAUUAUUCAGGACUCUCCUUAAUAUUUAUUAAGAAACCAAAUUUUCUAUAAUAAGGAGGCUGAUUAGUGAAUUGCCAAAAGGUCUUGUGGCCUGAUGCCCAAGGGAAAAUUGUAUAGUAAGCUUCUAAUAUGUGCUCUUGGAAGGACAGUAAUUUUUCGUUUUGGUACUUUCAGAGGUUGAUUAGCUGCUCUGGUUUCAUAUAAAAAUUGAAGAGAGUAUAGCCAGUAUUUUGGAGACCUAAGCUUUCCUAAAACAUAACUGUUUGUGUGGGUAGCAGCUUAAAUGGUGAUUAAAAAUACCAGGUCCUUCCAUACAUGCUGAUGAACACAGAAUGCAGAUGAAUUCUUUUAAAGGGCAAGUAUUCUAAGUUAGCAUGUAUACCUUUUUCAUCCCUAUCCCCACCAAAAGAAAAAUCCUUACAAAUAAACUGCAGAUAGGCUGCUAAGCUUAAUGAUGCAGUAUGCUGCUAACAUCUUGAUGCUGAAUUUCACAGCAUUCUUUGAUCAUCUUCUUAUUACUGAUGUAUUCAUGCAUAUAUGUAGUGUUUAACACUGUAGAAUUUUAUUACAGGAGAUGCUAACUAGAUUUUUAAGGGAGCUGAGGGAAUAUCGAUGACCCUAAGUAACCUUGCAUUGAAUUAAAUAUUUUAUAUUUAAGCCACAGAAUUGAAGAGAUGCCUCCUGUGAUUUAAAUUAUAGCUCUUAGCCCAUUACUACCAAAGAUGACAUUUGCAGAUUCUCCCUCCCUCCUCUGAUAUUAUAAGAAGUUUAAUCUUGGUAUCUUUCUUUAACCUAAACCAAAUAUUAUUAAAGAUGCAAUUUUCAUGUUCCUUUUAGGAUGGAACAUAUACAGAGAUUUUGACUCCUUGAAGUUAUUAAAAACAUAGAAGUUUUCUUUUUGAGAGGUAGGGUAAACAGCUGAGCGUUCAUGUCACUUAACCCCUACCAUUUGGGAAAAUUUUAUCUCAGGUAGUUUUUCUUUCCCUAAAUUAAUAUCUACGGUUCUUUACUCUUGCCUUCUAGUUUCUUCUUUAUUGUUCCAUGGUAUUGUCAUGGUACAUUUUUGUCCCAGAAAAGGCAUAUGAGUUGAUUAUUCUAUAGGAAAUCUUUGGUUCUUUGGAAACAUAUUUGGAGGAGGUGGCUAGCUAGCCACUGUCAAAACUUGUGAAAAACUUUAAAUGCUGUAUUUAGAGGAGGAGAAUAAGUAGAGUCGGACACCUCAGUAAAAGCACUGGCUAAAAGAAAUUAUUUGCUGCAUUUUUAAAGGAAUAAUAACAAAAUUAUCCUCUUGCAAUAAGAAAUUGCAUUUAUUGUUACUGGAUGUCUUCCUUGUUUUGUAACCAUCAGUAUAGCAACCCUUCGCAGAAAAGUUCCCUCUGCUAUGCCUUGAGCCAUUACUAUGGCUGCUUUUAGAAGUUUUACUCAUCCUUCUCCCUGUUUUCAUUGCCUUCUAGAUUCAUGUUACUAGGAUUUGUAUUUUACCUUUGAGCAAAUUUAUUGUAAGAAAUGCUGCCGGAAAAAGUGCUGCCAUGUAAAGGAAGAUGAAGAGAAACUAUGGGUAUAAGGUUUGUUUUCAUCUUAGUACACUGGACUUUCACCCUGGUAAGGGUAUCAGUUACCUUUCUGGGAUAAACUGUAGUCAGGAUAGCUCAUUUGAGUUUAUUUCUCAAAUGCAGAUAACUGGCAUUUUGGCAUCAUUUUCUUCUUAGUUUUAUAUUCUGACCCUACAGAAUUAGGCCUGUUUUAGAUAAUUUCUAUUAUUAGUUAAUACUUGGCAGCAUGACAUUUAAUUUUUUUAUAAUUUAAUGAAAAUCAGCACCAUAGUAACUAAUGGUAAUUGUAACAGCAUAGUUACUGGGUGAGGGAGUGGAGGAGACACUCAGUAACAACGUGUUUUAUCUGGACUUUUAUGCAAGGGUACAUGGCUUUAUUCAGAUUAGGGUACAGAUGGAAUUGCAUCAUGGCUUUUAGUCUGGUGGAUAUGUAGACAGUCAAAGAUUUAAGCAAGUGCCUUGUGUUUCCUGGAAAAUACUGAAACUCAUUUGGGUGUAAGCUUCCCAGAUGAUGAUUAAUUAUUGCACCUUUGCCUUUUCCUUGGAAUAAUUUUUGGAUUGAGUCGUGUAGUAUAAAACUCCAAAAUUCCCUUGGUUUACCUUCUUUCUGUAUGUAUAAAACUAUUCAUAUUUGGGUUUUUUUUUCCUGAUAUUACAUGUAAUGGAAAGCCAGAGCUGUCUGGCAGAAUCUAAUUGUUCAUUGGAUCUAGUUCCAUUUUUAGUAUUAGGUUCCUUCUUCAAAUCUUAUUACUGUAGCUCUCUAAUAUAAUUUAUUUAUUUCUUAUCAACUGUGGUCACAAUAUAGACCAGUCUUUGGUCACAGUUAGCUCAAAAGAAUUUCCAUUUCUUCUUAAGGUGCUCAAUAAAUCACCUUUACUUUGAGAUGGUAGCCUUUUCAGGCUAGUGUUACUUUCUCUCUUUCUCAAUGAAUAUAUGAAUGUCAAAUCUCUAUGAUACGGAAUUCAUCUGAGCCUCUUGUGGUUUAUUUGGAUAAGUUAUGUUUUCUUAGUUAUAGAGGAACGUGGAUGUUUUGGUCUUUGAAGUACCCCAAAUUUUAAAGGUUUUGUUUUGGUAGGUUAGCUGCUUCUCUACCUGACACCACAGGAUGUAUCAUGCUUGUUUUCUUAGCCACUUCCCCUCCCACAGUGUUUUUCACUGCUUUUUAAGUUAUGUAAUGACCAGUAGGUUUACACAGUGACAUACAAUUGACAAGUACUUGGGAAUAUUUAAGAAGGUAAACAAUUUUAACUAUUUUUGCUGCAAUUUUAUAGGAGAAAUGGGCUGUAAAAGAAAUACCUAUAAACUAGAGAGCAUUUAGGAAAUUGUAUAUUUUAUAGGUGGUCGUGAAGGUGACCUUCAGGAUAUGAUACAUAGUUUACACAACCUUUGUUCUCCUGAUAUGAAAUUUUUAUUCAUUUUCCUAUAGCUCAGCACUUUCAUUGUCCCUUAUACUGCUUUAUAAGGAUUAAUGUUUUAUAUUUGCUUUAUUUGUGCUUUUCAGAGAGUUGUCAUAAUCAUGGCAGUUGUGUUUGUGGUACCAUAUAUGCUGGAAUUUGUGGGAAAUUUAUAAAAUGAUUGCCUAAGUGUUAUUUCCCAUUAAAUAAAGUAGGUAUCACAAUAUCCUAAAGAAAACUGAUGACUUUUUUGAAAGUCAUACAUACAUGUUUUAUAAUCUAGGUUCAUGGUAUUUUAAUUUAAAGGCAAAGAGAAGCAUUCUGUAUUAUUUUGCCUUAUAUGAAAAAAGCUUAUUUUGUUGUACUACUUUGUACAGUAAAAAUAAGUUACAUUCUGGAGGGAGGAAAAAAAAACCCAAACUGGAAUUGUUAAAAUUUUUGUUCCUUUUGGGAAACCCCCAUGUAAACAACAGAGCUAUUUGUUAUCAUCAACUCUUGAUUGUCAGCAAGAGAAUUAUUUGUAGUCACUUUUUUUAUCCUAGGUUAGAACUGCCUUCCCUUUCUGACUUUUCCCCUUAAUAGUGUUCGUGAUGUCGGGACAGUGAAUGUAGAUGUAGUGAGGUGUUCAAAAUCAUACAUCCACAUCAUGCAUCUGUGGAUUCAAAACCUCUUCAGUUAUUUGAAUUAUCUAUAGGUGUAUUAUUUUUAUUAGCAUGGGUUGUCAGAAGUCUGCCAAAUUUAAGAGUAAAGAACAGAAAGAUGAGUAAUAAAAAUAAGAGGAAGAAAGAAAAUGGCUUCCUUAUUGGUAUUAGUAAUCAUCCAUAUAGUUUAUGAUCUAAAAAUGAUAUUUAUUUUUUAAAAUCCAAGUUUGGUACCUGUAACAUAGAAACAUUGCCUUUCCUACACAUUCCUCAUUGUCGUUUCCCAGAAAAUUAUUUUAAGAGUGUAUGAGACCAGAUUAAAUAUCCAUAUUUAAUUUGUCUAGUUUUUAAAAAUAAUUAUUUGAACUCUAGCUUUUUGUGAAUUUGGUAUACAUCAACAUUCAUGCAAAUCAAGGAUCAGAAAGAAACUGGGAAUUAGCCAUCUCCAUGUCUCCCUUUGCACAUUGGGUACAGUGGUUGGCAUUAGUAUGCACUAGCUGCAAUGUUAUAGCACCUUAUGGAAUUAAGUAGUGUUUAUUUAUUAUUAAGUAAAAAGGUUAAGCUGUAUCUCUGUAGAAUAUCUAUUUUACAGAGUGUAAAGCUGUCAUAUCAUUUCCAGCAGGAUUGAACUCCUUCAUUCUUAAUUUUUUUGAAAAAAACCUAAGUAAUUUAACAUUCCUUUAUAUUCUCUUAACAGUGUCAAAUCUGGGGUAGAAUGGAUUCCCCCCCCCCCCUCCCGCCAAAGGGCUCCAUCUUUGUUAUCUUUUGGUCGCUCUUUGAAAUCCAGUUAUGAUCAAUAGAUUUUAACAGUUGAUGGCUUCCUAUAUCAGCACUGGAGUGGUUGGUUGUGAUUAUUAAAACCUACUACUAUUUUCCCUCAGUAACAUGUAAUUGCUAUGUUUUUGAUUAGAAGGUAUGGCUAGAAAAAAUGUGAAUGAUCACUUAAACCAAAGCCAGUUAUAAGGAGUAUUCUCUCCUGUUGGUUUACCUUCACCUCAGAACUACAAGAAUAUUACAGUACACAGUGAAUAGUUGUCUAUAACAUUUCUACCAGUUGUUUCAGUAGCAUUGGUCUUGGCAUUUCUUAGCACUAUGGAUCUCUAUUUUCGGUGAUGUCUUAUUUUUUGUGAGGGUUUUCUUUUGUUUGUUUUUUUGUUUUUGUUUUUAAUAAGUGGGACUAUAAAUGUAGAUGUGUAUCAGUACCAAAUAGUUCUUUUCUCAAAUCCUUGUAUUUCUAAUUUCUAUUCAAGUCUUUUAAACCUGUUUUUUUCUUGCUGAGUAGCAAAGAACCUUUAUUUUCCUCGAAACCUAAAAAAGUAUGGACACUGCGUUUCAAUUAACUGUAUUGCAUAUAGUUUUUUGCCGAAAACUAUCUGUAAACACAAUUGCCUUGUUCAGUUUUGUUGUAAACUGAAUUACCCUAAGAUGCACUGUUGAUAUGCUUUCUGAUGUGUUUGUUUGAUAAGGGUGAUAAAAUAA
rnacentral:lncRNA from 1 species